CUCUUAAACAAGUCACAAUAUUUGGAGUGAAACAUCCAAGUGUUGAUUGGGGAUAGACCAAGUAAUCGUAACUAUUUGAACAGAUGAUCAGUUGGAUACGUUAUCAAUCCUGACAACAGCAGUGAAAACAAGAAAAACAUAUAUACAUAUUAUAUAUACCCCUUUAUGGAGCAUAAGACAAGGAAACAAAAGAGCACCUUACAAAUUGACGUGGAUCAACAGAGAUAUUCGCCAUAAGGAAAUCAAGCGUAUAAAAAUGUAGUAUAUCUAUAUACAGAAAUAAAGAUACGUGUACAUAAUGGAAGUAUUGAAAGACGUAAAGGAAAAAUGCAAAUCAGAAAUUUAAGA